CCUACGGGAGGCAGCAGUGGGGAAUAUUGCACAAUGGGGGAAACCCUGAUGCAGCAACGCCGCGUGAGUGAAGAAGUAUUUCGGUAUGUAAAGCUCUAUCAGCAGGGAAGAGCAUGACGGUACCUGACUAAGAAGCCCCGGCUAACUACGUGCCAGCAGCCGCGGUACUACGUCGGGGGCAAGCGUUAUCCGGAUUUACUGGGUGUAAAGGGAGCGUAGACGGCUGUAAAAGUCUGAAGUGAAAGCCCGGGGCUCAACCGCGGAACUGCUGUGGAAACUGUAAAGCUUGAGUACUGGAGAGGCAGGCGGAAUUCCUAGUGUAGCGGUGAAAUGCGUAGAUAUUAGGAGGAACACCAGUGGCGAAGGCGGCCUGCUGGACAGAAACUGACGUUGAGGCUCGAAAGCGUGGGGAGCAAACAGGAUUAGAUACCCCUGUAGUC
rnacentral:rRNA from 1 species